rnacentral:tRNA from 1 species
AAAUAAGAAGCAAUUAGUUGCAUUUAGUUUCGACCUAAAAAUUUGAUAUAAAAUAUCCUUAUUUA